AGCGGAGGGAUCAUUACCGAGUUAUACAACUCAUCAACCCUGUGAACAUACCUAUAACGUUGCCUCGGCGGGAACAGACGGCCCCGUAACACGGGCCGCCCCCGCCAGAGGACCCCCUAACUCUGUUUCUAUAAUGUUUCUUCUGAGUAAACAAGCAAAUAAAUUAAAACUUUCAACAACGGAUCUCUUGGCUCUGGCAUCGAUGAAGAACGCAGCGAAAUGCGAUAAGUAAUGUGAAUUGCAGAAUUCAGUGAAUCAUCGAAUCUUUGAACGCACAUUGCGCCCGCCAGUAUUCUGGCGGGCAUGCCUGUUCGAGCGUCAUUACAACCCUCAGGCCCCCGGGCCUGGCGUUGGGGAUCGGCGGAAGCCCCCUGCGGGCACAACGCCGUCCCCCAAAUACAGUGGCGGUCCCGCCGCAGCUUCCAUUGCGUAGUAGCUAACACCUCGCAACUGGAGAGCGGCGCGGCCACGCCGUAAAACACCCAACUUCUGAAUGUUGACCUCGAAUCAGGUAGGAAUACCCGCUGAACUUAAGCAUAUCAAUAAA
rnacentral:rRNA from 1 species